GGGGUGCUUCCAUCUGGAAGAAUCUGGAGACAGGUGCUGCAUGGCUGUCGUCAGCUCGUGUCGUGAGAUGUUGGGUUAAGUCCCGCAACGAGCGCAACCCUUGCCUUUAGUUGCCAGCAGUUCGGCUGGGCACUCUAAAGGGACUGCCGGUGUUAAACCGGAGGAAGGUGGGGAUGACGUCAAGUCCUCAUGGCCUUUAUGACCAGGGCUACACACGUACUACAAUGGCCGAUCAAAGGGCAGCGACACUGCGAGGUGAAGCCAAUCCCGUAAAAUCGGUACUCAGUCCGGAUUGGAGUCUGCAACUCGACUCCAUGAAGUUGGAAUCGCUAGUAAUCGUGGAUCAGCAUGCCACGGUGAAUACGUUCCCGGGCCUU
rnacentral:rRNA from 1 species